GGUAGCAUUCACUCACUUGUUUUUAUUAUCACAGAUUAUUGGUAUUUGUGUAGCGACGGCCGUCGCUUGGUGUCAGUAAUCAGUUCAAAACAAUCUGUUUUACGUUUAAUAAUUGUGUUGUGAAAAUGAAUCCUGAGAUUUAUGUUAAAGGACAAAUUGAAUAUUUCGAUUAUGAAAAAUGUAAAGCAGCGUUUAAGAAGAUUCAAUAUAAUUACAUCAAAAGGAAUAGUGAAGGUAUAGUCGCAGGCAAAGUAAGUUUUUGGACACGCGAGAAAGUAGAGAUUUACAUUGACAUAAUACUGGAUUAUAAAAAGAAGAAAGAAUCGUACAGCCAUGACGAAGAUGUUUCCAGAUACAUCGCGCUUGUAACGUCUGCAACAGUUCCGCGCCAUUAGAAGUAAGUGAACUAAAAACCGACAAAGUCACGAAUCAGAACAAGUUCAAUAAAAUUUAUCAAGCCACAGUUAUAAACAUGAAAGAAACGGACAACGAACCUAAAUAUUCAGCGUUACUGGUACUAAGUGAUAAAUAUACAAAUUUCGUAUUUAUGCGACCACUACCGAAGAUACAUGAAGACUUUAUUGCUAUCGAGCUUGUCAAAUUAUUCGCUGACUAUGGACAUCCUUGUAUAAUAGAGACUACACUAAAAGCGAUAUUUAGCCCAGUAAUAAAAUUGCUUCCGAAUUUCGGUAAUGCAUUUACGAUUAAUAUAAUACAAUCGCCUUUUACGGAUAAUUCGUGGCACCAGCGAGCCUUGGUGUACCUGCAGGAGUGGAUGAGCAUCAAUGAGACUGAGAACUGGGUCAGCGGGUGCCCUAUUGUCCAGUGGCAACUAAACAAUUUGCGCCGCCGCGACAACACCACUCCUUACAAACAAGUUUUUGGUGUAGAUCCCGUGAGAGAUUUAAUCACCUCAUACACGAAGCUAUAAAUACUACUUAGAUGAAAAUACCUUAAUUGUAAUACGAAGUACCUACCUACUAAGGCUGGAGAUGUUACUAUCGCGCCAAGUAGCAUUUUCAGCAGGGCUAGGAUGCGCGCCGUGAUAACUUAUCUACUAAUUUAGACGAUUAAUGUUUGGGCUCAUUAUGCAAAAUCGAUAAAAUGCCUCGAUAAAAGUUUGUCGCGACGCGACGCGCAUUCUAGACCUACUGGACUAAGCUGUUUAUUGUGGCAUAGCAGUGAUAAAAUUUGAAAUUUAAUAACAUUAAAAGCAAUAACUAUAGAUUUUAAUGUAAUAAAGAGUAUAAUU